rnacentral:rRNA from 1 species
CUACGGGGUGCAGCAGUGGGGAAUAUUGCACAAUGGAGGAAACUCUGAUGCAGCAACGCCGCGUGGAGGAUGACACUUUUCGGAGCGUAAACUCCUUUUAUAUAGGAAGAAGAUGACGGUACUAUAUGAAUAAGCGCCGGCUAACUCCGUGCCAGCAGCCGCGGUAAUACGGAGGGCGCAAGCGUUACUCGGAAUCACUGGGCGUAAAGAGCGUGUAGGCGGAUUAAAAAGUCAGAAGUGAAAUCCUAUAGCUUAACUAUAGAACUGCUUCUGAAACUCUUAAUCUAGAAUAUGGGAGAGGUAGAUGGAAUUUCUGGUGUAGGGGUAAAAUCCGUAGAGAUCAGAAGGAAUACCGAUUGCGAAGGCGGCUGCCUGGGGUCUUGCUGACGCUGAGGAACGAAAGCUAGGGUAGCGAACGGGAUUAGAUACCCGCGUAGUC